rnacentral:lncRNA from 10 species
GAGGGACUAUGUUGUGAGCCUGCGAAAGAAGUUUGUGUGGGGACUGUGGGCAGUGAACGCGUUGGGAACAAUAUGGAAAACUGGGAGCCGCCUUGGAAUCUACAGGGCCGGGCUGAAGAAAAGAAGAAUGGUAUUCACGCAGUUCCCAUUUUACAGAUGAAAACAAGAGGACUUUUUCUGUGAAGUCAAGAAAGUGGUUACAAUGGUACUUUCAGCCUGUCCGAAUUAUGUAUUGCCCCUCCCCUUUUUAUUAAUAACAUUGAAGUGUGAUGGGACAACCACUGAAGCCGUCAGUUGAAACCUGCUGGGACUUUUUAGCCAUUCUCUUCAACAUAAAGAAUGGGUGUUUUUGGAGGGGGUGAGAGGAAUGGGGAAAUGUUGUCAAAGAGUACAACGUUUUAGUUGAGACAGGAAGAAUAUAUUUUGUUGAGAUCUACAGCACAGCAUGGUGACUGUAGUUAACAAUGAAGUAUUGUCUAUUUCCAAAUUGCUAAGACAAUAAAUUUCAAAUGUUCUCACCACAAAAAA